rnacentral:rRNA from 1 species
AUUGACCGCUGGCGGCAGGCCUAACACAUGCAAGUCGAACGAGUGGCGGACGGGUGCGUAAUGUCUGGGAAACUGCCUGAUGGAGGGGGAUAACUACGGGAAACGGUAGCUAAUACCGCAUCCCAUCAGAUGUGCCCAGAUGGGAUUAGCUUGUUGGUGGGGUAACGGCUCACCAAGGCGACGAUCCCUAGCUGGUCUUAGAGGAUGACCAGCCACACUGGAACUGAGACAUGGUCCAGACUCCUCCGUGAGGCAGCAGUGGGGAAUAUUGCACAAGGGGCGCAAGCCUGCUGCAGCCAUGCCGGGUGUAUGAAGAGGGCCUUCGGGUUUUAAAGGACUUGCAGCGGGGAGGCGUUACCCGCAGAAGAAGCGCCGGCUAACUCCGUGCCAGCAGCCGCGGUAAUAC